GUCUCCUUAGCUCAGUUGGUAGAGCAACUGACUCUUAAUCAGUGGGUCGAGGGUUCGAAUCCCCCAGGGGACACCA
rnacentral:tRNA from 3 species